CUAAAAUUUUAUCUAUUACCUACUAAAAUACUACAUAAAACAUUUUUAAUGAGAUGCACUUAUUGGAAAACAAAGCAAUUAUAUUACAUAUUUUUUUCUAAUAAGUGCAUUGCAAGAAAAUGUUUUAAUGAAUAAUUAAAAUAAUUGGUGUUUGUGACAUUGUUGUUAUCUAAUGGUCAUUAAUUACAAAUUGUUUUUUUGUUUAAGCAUAUCUAUGCAAUUCCACUUAUUUUAAAAUAAUUAGGAUCCAAUUAUUGUGAAAUACCUUAUUUUAUUACUUUGUUGCUAUCUAUCUAAUUGACAAGAAAAAUGUUUUAAUGAAUAAUUUUGCAUAUUUAUAUAUAAUUAGAAUCCAAUUAUUGUAAAAAUACCUUAUUUAUUACUUUGUUGCUAUCUAUCUAAUUGUGAAGAAAAAUGUUUUAAUGAAUAAUUAAAAUAAUGGUUAUUUGCAACAUUGUUGUUAUCUAAUGACCAUGCAUACCUACUUACAAAUAAUUACUAUGCACAAACAUGAUCAAACAAUCAUUUACGUACUGCUUGCGGUUCAUUUAGAAUCGGUAGCUUCAGUGUAGCAGAAGUGCCAAUGAGUUGUCAGUAUUUUUGAAAAUAAUAUAAAACAUACCAUGUCUUCACAAACUUUGGAUAUGUUUGUUUUGGAUAUGGUGAAGAAAGUGGAAAAAGUUGUAAUGCUGUUACGAACAAUUGAGGAGUUCAACAAGUGGAUCAGAUUUAUCAAAAUAAGUAUAAAUUUAGUUAAGAAAGCAAUUCAAAAUAAGUCUCACCAUAUUAAACAUCGUAAUAGAAUUGAAACGGGUUUGGGUCUUUUAAAUUAUCACAAACACAAUUUGAAACAUCGAAAAUUAUUAAAACUACAGUCAAAAAAACAAAAAUCUAAAAAAAAAACUAAUAAUAAUUUAAUAUGGCGUGAUUUAGAGUCAAGUUUUAAUAAAAGAAUCAAAACUGGUGUAAUUAUUAAUUUAAAUUUUAAAGAUCCUAAAACAUUUUUGAAAAAGGCAUUUAGAAGUUUUUCUCUAAAAAUUAAAGAGGCACUAAAACAAACACUUUUAAAAGUCAAUACUGUAUUUUUAGCAAAUUUUAUUAAACCUCAUAAUUUAGAAACUGAUAUUAAACAUUUUGCAACAAAAAACGAAAUAAUUGAUCACACUACUAAUUUAAAAGAGUGGUAUGAGGAAUACGUCAUUAAUAGAAUAUUAUCAAAAAUUGAAGAUUUUCAGGAGAGAGAUUCAGGAUUUGCAUUGUAUGAAAUUUUGAAUUUAAAAGUAAAUAUAAAUCAGUAUAUACCCAUAGCAGUAGGUUGUUCUAGUUACAUAGAAUUACCUGAUUUUAUUAAAAAUAAAAAAUCUUGUAUUAAUAUUAAAAACAAUGAUAAUUACUGUUUCCUUUGGUCUGUUGUGGCAUAUUUGUUUCCUGUACAACCAAAUACAAAUUCUAGUAGAAUAUCCUCAUAUCCACAUUUUUCAAGUGUUCUAAAAUAUGAUAACAUUGAUUUCCCAAUGAGAUUAAAAGAUAUAGGGAAAUUUGAACAAAUGAAUAAUAUAUCCAUAAACGUUUUUGGUAUUUUUGAACAUAACAGCAUAGCACCAGUCUGUUUAAGUAAAUUUGACUUUAGAAAACGUGUCAAUCUACUAAUACUUCCUUAUACAAAUGAAAAUAUUGAAUAUGACAAUCGAGAUAAUAAUAUUAAUUUUGAAAAUAUUUGUAUUGAUCACUAUCAGAUUUACCAUUAUGUCCUUAUAAAAAAUUUAUCAAAAUUAGUUUUUACACAAUUAAAUAAUAGUAAUACUAAAAAGUGGAUAUGUGAUCGAUGUUUAAAUUAUUUUUCAUCUGAACCUCUUCUUCAACAACAUUGGGUGGACUGUUUUACAAUGAAUAAUACUAAAAUGAUAAUUCCCAAUUGGAAUAAGAGAAUCUUGAAAUUUUCUAAUUUUAAGAACAAAAUUAAAGUUUCCUUUGUCAUUUACGCAGAUAUAGAAUGUCUCCUAUUAAAGUAUUCCGAUCCUACCAUUCCAACGGCGAACAUGAGAAAAAUUCAACAUCAUGUACCUUAUAGUGUAGCUUUUCUACUAAAAUGUUCAUAUGAUGAUUCAUUAACACAAUUUAAAAUUUAUACAGGAGAGGACUGUAUAUCCUGGUUUGUUAAAGAAUUAGGGUUAAUCAGUAAAAAACUGGAUGAUAUCUAUUCAAACGUUGUUCCAAUGACACCUUUGACAAAUCUAGAAGAAAAUCAAUUUUUAAAUGCAGAAUUAUGUUAUAUUUGCACACAACCCUUUUCAGAUGAUGAUAUUAAAUGCAAAGAUCAUUGCCACAGGACUGGAACCUAUAGGGGUCCUUCACAUCAAUGUUGCAAUUUACAGUUACGUGAAACUUUUAUGAUACCUAUAGUAUUUCAUAAUUUGGGAUAUGAUAGUCACUUCCUAAUUAAACAUUUAAAUACGGACAUUGAAGGAAAUUUUCAAAUAUUACCUCUAAAUAAAGAAAGAUAUAUUUCCUUUACAAAAUUUGUACAAGGUACUAAAUGCAGUUUACGAUUUAUCGAUUCCUAUAGAUUUAUGUCUGAAAGUAUCGAUAAGCUUGCCUCCUAUUUGACUACUUCUCAAAACAAAAUUUUAAAAUCGUUUUUCCCAAAUGAAAUCCAAUUUAAUUUGUUGACACGAAAAGGUGUUUUUCCUUAUGAGUAUUUAGAUUCUUGGGAGAAACUUAAAGAUGAAAAUUUACCUCCUAAAAAUGCUUUUUAUAGCACUCUUACUAAAACACAUAUUAGUGAUGAUGAUUACAAUCAUGCAUGCAACAUAUGGACAGAAUUUCAUAAUAAUACGUUAAAAGAUUUUUCGGAAAUUUAUCUAACUACAGACGUAUUAUUAUUAGGUGAUAUUGUUGAAAAUUUUCGGGAAACUUCUUUAAAAACAUAUGGCUUAGAUCCUCUUCACUAUUACACAGCUCCAGGAUUAUCAUUUGAUGCAUGUCUUAAGAUUACUGGAGUAGAAAUUGAGUUAUUAGAUGACAUAGAUAAAGUAAUGUUUAUCGAACGAGGUCUACGAGGAGGAAUUUCACAAGUAUCCAAUAGAUAUGGCAAAGCAAAUAACAAAUAUAUGAGUAAAGACUAUAAUGAACAAGAUCGUGAUUCCUACUUAAUAUAUUGGGAUUUUGUAAAUUUAUAUGGUACAAUAAUGUGUUUUUCUCUACCUUAUGGAGGUUUUGAAUGGAUAGAUCCUAAUGUGAUGUCAGAUAUUACAACCGUUGAUAAAAACUCUGAUAUCGGAUAUAUAUUAGAAUGUGACAUUAUUUAUUCAAAAGAACUAUUUAAUAUACACAAAGAUUUACCCUUAUGUCCUGAACAUCUAAUACCACCAAAAUCAAAAUCCAAAGUAACAAAAUUAUUAACAACUUUAUUUGAUAAAAAACACUAUAUAAUUCAUUACAGAGCUCUUCAACAAGCAGUAACACUAGGUUUAAAACUUGAUAAAAUUUACAGAGUCUUAAAAUUCAAUCAGGCACCUUGGGUGAAGAAAUAUGUUGAUCUAAAUACAGAACUUAGGAAAAAAAGUAAAAAUGAAUUUGAAUCAAAUAAUUACAAAAUGAUGACAAAUUCCUUCUUCGGUAAGACCUGUGAAAAUGUACGUAAAUACAAGGACUGUAAAUUACUAUCAAAGUGGGAAGGCCGUUAUGGUGUUCGAAAUUACAUUUCAAAACCCAAUUUUCAUAGUCUAUCUAUUAUUAAUGAAAAUCUUGUAGUUGUAGAAAUGAAGCGAACACAAAUAACAUUUAAUAAACCUCUUUUUAUAGGUUUUUCUAUUUUAGAUUUAUCUAAAGUUUGGUUGUACGACUUCCAUUAUAACUAUACUAAAAACAAAUUUGGAGAUAACGCAAAACUCCUUUAUUGUGACACUGACUCUUUAAUUUAUCAUAUUUUCGACGAAAAUGUAUAUGAGCAUAUGAGGGCUGAUAUAAAUAAGUUUGACACAUCAAAUUUUUCAGUAAAUAAUGCCUAUAACAUGCCACUAUGUAAUAAAAAAGUUUUAGGAUUAAUGAAAGAUGAAAAUGGUGGUCGAAUUAUGACUGAGUUUGUAGGUUUACGAUCAAAAAUGUAUGCAUUAAAAGUAUUAAAUGAAAAAGAAGAAUAUAGUAUUAAAAAAGCUAAAGGCAUAAAAAAAAGUGAAUUAAAAUCUAUAACCUUUAAAGAUUAUUCUGAUUGUCUAUUUCAUCACACAGUUACGAACGCUACCCAAAAUCUUAUCAUUUCUAAAAAACAUGAGGUUUACACAAUUCAACAAAAUAAAGUUGCCUUAAGACCUACUGAUGAUAAAAGAAUAGUCAAUUAUUUUGAAACUGAUACUCUCCCUUGGGGGUGGGAAGAAGAAGAAUGAACUCCUCAAUUGCCAUUUUAGAAGACCAUCGUACAAGAAUACAUCAAGAUCCACACUAAAAAACUUCAUGCGAAGGCGCUACUACCCCCUCCAGUUCUCUCUCUCUUUAAAAGAUAUAUACAGCUACAAGAGAUUUUCAAUUUCACUGUGUAUUGAAGAGCCACAACAAUGAAGAUGUAUUUUUUUUAUUUAUUAUUUGCUAUCGUUCUUGUUACACAAAUUAUUGGAGUUCCAGCAUCCAAAACUGUGUUUGUUAAUACUGAAUACCAAAUUGACGAUGGUGACUUUAUAGUUGCAGAAGUAUAUCACAAUGAAAUAAUUUUAAAUGAAUAUUUAGCGUUCCGUUCUGAAAAUCCAGUACCAAUGUAUUCCUCAGUUACCUGUAAAGAUGAGAAAGUAGGAAACUAUUCCUGUGGUUUUACAAUAGGAUCAAAUGACCAUUAUUAUCCUAUUGUUCCAUUCAAAAGCCCAAUCUUAUGUGGACACUAUAAACUUACACAAUUUCAAAAUAGACCUAUCAGCUACAGAGAUUAUUUUUGGAAGAACGCCGAAAGCUUUUACAAACAAGCUGCUGCUCUGAAGAUAUCGAAUCUAUAUAAAUAUACUACAUUGAAUGACAUUUGUUUUGUAUACCUAUGAAUUUAAUAAAAAGAAUAAAAAAAAAUUUCUUUUAUUUCUUUCUUAGUCAUACUUCUUACCUAAAACCAAUCUCAGAUAAAAAAA
rnacentral:misc_RNA from 1 species